AUUGCAGCUGCCUCUCCCGCCGAGUUGGAGACGGAUGGGCUGGGACGGGUUUUGGGGGGGUGUCCCCAAUUCUGACUGGGAGUGGAGGAACCCCUCCUGAGAUCUCUUGUGGGGGUGCCCCCUCCCCAGGGCACUCCCCAGUCCCUGAGCCAGCCGAGAGGAAGGAGGCCAGCGAUGCGACUGGGGCGGCUCCUUUCUCCUGCACCCCAAAUGUGAGGGAUGCACCCUAAAUUUUGCUCUUUUCAAAAUAGGGGACCAGGAUCUCAGGGGAGAGUAGCUGAGGCCUUGCUCGGAGUCCCAGGAGAUCCACAGGUCCGGCAUGAACAGUGAGAGGUCAGAGGUGGAAGGCUCAGCAGGAGAGGAGAGGAGGAUCAGCAGAGGUCAUGAGAAGGCCAGAAUCCAGGGUCAGGCUGUCUGGAACAGGAAGUAAAAUGGGCCGAGAUGGAGCGAGCCCCCAGUGUGCUUCCAAGGCCACUCCCACCUCCCUGAAACACCCUGCUACGUACUGAUCCAAUGCCCUGCGCUGUGUAUGAGAGCACCUUCUCUUCUGAAACCCCUAUACAAGGGAGGGGCCCCUGCGGAGACCGUGCCCUGCCAUCCAGUCCUCAAGGGGAUUCUAAAAAACUAGUGACAAAGUAGGGAAGCAGCUGAGCUGGAAAGGAGUUCUGAGGACGAUGGAACCUUGGGUAAGGAGGAAGAAGGCUGCCCACCCGCCCUUUUCUGGCAGCCACCCUCCCUCACACUGUCCGUUCCUUGAUGACACAGCUGAUGUGAUUAAGAUCGUCCCCAAAUCGCUUCA
rnacentral:lncRNA from 1 species